GGUCGAUUAGUGUAGCUGGUUAUCACAGCGGAUUCUGAUUUUCUCACAUUCAGGAACUUCCGCUAACCUGGGUUCGAAUCCCAGAUUGACCU